rnacentral:rRNA from 1 species
UACGGGGGGGGCAAUCGUUGGUCGGAAUUACUGGGCGUAAAGGGCUCGUAGGUGGCCACCUAAGUCAGACGUGAAAUCCCUCGGCUUAACCGGGGAACUGCGUCUGAUACUGGAUGGCUUGAGUUUGGGAGAGGGACGCGGAAUUCCAGGUGUAGCGGUGAAAUGCGUAGAUAUCUGGAGGAACACCGGUGGCGAAGGCGGCGUCCUGGACCAACACUGACACUGAUGAGCGAAAGCCAGGGGAGCAAACGGG